UACGUAGGGGGCAAGCGUUGUCCGGAAUCAUUGGGCGUAAAGAGCGCGUAGGCGGUCCAGUAAGUCCGCUCUGAAAGUCCGGGGCUCAACCCCGGGAGGCGGGCGGAUACUGUCGGGCUAGAGUCCGGAAGAGGCGAGUGGAAUUCCUGGUGUAGCGGUGAAAUGCGCAGAUAUCAGGAGGAACACCAAUGGCGAAGGCAGCUCGCUGGGACGGUACUGACGCUGAGGCGCGAAAGCGUGGGGAGCAAACAGG
rnacentral:rRNA from 1 species